CAGCAGCCGCGGGAAUACGUAGGUGGCGAGCGUUGUCCGGAAUCAUUGGGCGUAAAGGGAGCGCAGGCGGGCAAGUAAGUCUGAAGUUAAAGGCAUUGGCUCAACCAAUGUAUGCUUUGGAAACUGUUAGACUUGAGUGCAGAAGGGGAGAGUGGAAUUCCAUGUGUAGCGGUGAAAUGCGUAGGUAUAUGGAGGAACACCGGUGGCGAAAGCGGCUCUCUGGUCUGUCACUGACGCUGAGGCUCGAAAGCGUGGGUAGCGAACAGGAUUAGAUACCCCGGUAGUCCCUGUCUCUUAUACC
rnacentral:rRNA from 1 species